UACGUAGGUGGCGAGCGUUGUCCGGAUUUACUGGGCGUAAAGAGCGUGUAGGCGGCCAGGUAGGUCUGCUGUGAAAACUCGAGGCUCAACCUCGAGACGUCGGCGGAAACCAUCUGGCUAGAGUCCGGAAGAGGAGAGUGGAAUUCCUGGUGUAGCGGUGAAAUGCGCAGAUAUCAGGAAGAACACCCGUGGCGAAGGCGGUUCUCUGGGACGGUACUGACGCUGAGACGCGAAAGCGUGGGGAGCGAACAGG
rnacentral:rRNA from 1 species